rnacentral:rRNA from 1 species
GGGGAAUAUUGCACAAUGGGCGCAAGCCUGAUGCAGCAACGCCGCGUGAGGGAUGACGGCCUUCGGGUUGUAAACCUCUUUUAGCAGGGAAGAAGCGUAAGUGACGGUACCUGCAGAAAAAGCACCGGCUAACUACGUGCCAGCAGCCGCGGUAAUACGUAGGGUGCAAGCGUUGUCCGGAAUUAUUGGGCGUAAAGAGCUCGUAGGCGGCUUGUCGCGUCUGCUGUGAAAACCCGGAGCUCAACUCCGGGCCUGCAGUGGGUACGGGCAGGCUAGAGUGCGGUAGGGGAGAUUGGAAUUCCUGGUGUAGCGGUGGAAUGCGCAGAUAUCAGGAGGAACACCGAUGGCGAAGGCAGAUCUCUGGGCCGCUACUGACGCUGAGGAGCGAAAGCAUGGGGAGCGAAC